rnacentral:rRNA from 1 species
GCAUAUCAUUAGAGGGAGGAAAAGAAAACAACAGUGAUUCCGAUAGUAGCGGCGAGCGAAGUUGGAGAAGCCCCGAUGGUAAUGGUGAAUGCCAGUUGUAAGGGGAAGCGGGUAAUAUUCUGAAAUGAAUAUCCAUAGAGGGUAAAAGACCUAAAUGUAAACCUGUUAUGUUGAGUAGCACUGUUUGGUAGUGCAGUGUGAAAGGGUGGUUGUAGGCACCUAAGGCUAAAUACGACCAAUGACCGAUAGCGAAUAAGUACUGUGAAGGAAGCUAUCUGCUGUAGUGGCAGAGAGUGAAAUCGAGCAUGCGGAAGGCAACAUGUUGCACCCGUCUUGAAACACGGACC